CCCAGCUGUGAGAGAAAAGGGCUUGGUUCUCCCCGCAACUUGUGGAGUCUGCACACCAGAUUUGCACCCUCCCCCAAGUUCUGGCAAGGAAGCUUCUCUCCGCAUUCAAAUUGUUACAAAGUUCAGCCAGAGAGUUCCUUCUUCCUGUGUAGUUUUACCCCCUGAUCCUCUGGUCACCCACCUGAUGGGUCCCUGUGGUGCCAGGCAGGAAUGGCCUGCCAGGGGACCCAGCGAGCUCCCAGGGCCUUUCUGCUGCUUCCUCUACCCCUUUAUUUCACUUGGCUUUCUAAAUUGGCUCAGCUCCAGACAUUGAAGAAGUAAUAGUUGUUAUCUUCAAAUCUUACCCUAUGGAACUAGGAUGCACUGAAAGAGGAACAAAGCAGACACACAUCGCCUUGGCGUGUUAAUGAGGUGUCAAUACAGCUCUUUGCCAAGAAUAACUCCUGACUUAAGAUGAUGCUUGAAAUCUUCCUGUGAGUCACUAUUCUGGGUACCUUGAAGACAGUUGUUAAAAACCAAAUAUGUUCUUACAAAUUGGUGAUAUAUUAAUUCAUUGUCAUACGUUAAUGCAUGUUUUGUAUAAAUUUAUGGGAUACAAAUGCAAUUUUGUACAUGCAUAGAUUGUGUAGUGGUCAACUCAAAGGUUUGUAUAGCAUCCAUCACCUGAAUAACAUAUAUUUACUCAUUAAGUAAUUUCUCAUUUUCUACCCUCCUUUUCACACCCCCAUAUGCUAAUACCUCAAAAAAAGAAUUAAGGACUUGAAUUUGGUAAGUUGGAUUGAGAAAAAUAAAAAUAGUGUGUCAUUUCAAAGUGAAGGUUCAUUUGGAGUGUCUAGAGAAUAGAAUUUAUUGAAAGCAAGAAAGAU
rnacentral:lncRNA from 1 species